GCAAGUCGAACGGGAGGCCUCAGCUUGCUGGGGUACUCGAGUGGCGAACGGGUGAGUAACACGUGGGUGAUCUGCCCUGCACUUUGGGAUAAGCCUGGGAAACUGGGUCUAAUACCGAAUAUGACCACUUCUUGGAUGUUGUGGUGGAAAGCUUUUGCGGUGUGGGAUGAGCCUGCGGCCUAUCAGCUUGUUGGUGGGGUAAUGGCCUACCAAGGCGGCGACGGGUAUCCGGCCUGAGAGGGUGUACGGACACAUUGGGACUGAGAUACGGCCCAGACUCCUACGGGAGGCAGCAGUGGGGAAUAUUGCACAAUGGGCGCAAGCCUGAUGCAGCGACGCCGCGUGGGGGAUGAAGGCCUUCGGGUUGUAAACUCCUUUCGCUAUCGACGAAGCCACUUUGUGGUGACGGUAGGUAGAUAAGAAGCACCGGCUAACUACGUGCCAGCAGCCGCGGUAAUACGUAGGGUGCAAGCGUUGUCCGGAAUUACUGGGCGUAAAGAGCUCGUAGGUGGUUUGUCGCGUCGUCUGUGAAAUCCCGGGGCUUAACUUCGGGCGUGCAGGCGAUACGGGCAUAACUUGAGUGCUGUAGGGGAGACUGGAAUUCCUGGUGUAGCGGUGAAAUGCGCAGAUAUCAGGAGGAACACCGAUGGCGAAGGCAGGUCUCUGGGCAGUAACUGACGCUGAGGAGCGAAAGCAUGGGUAGCGAACAGGAUUAGAUACCCUGGUAGUCCAUGCCGUAAACGGUGGGCGCUAGGUGUAGGGGGCUUCCACGUCUUCUGUGCCGUAGCUAACGCAUUAAGCGCCCCGCCUGGGGAGUACGGCC
rnacentral:rRNA from 1 species